rnacentral:lncRNA from 1 species
ACGGCCAUGCUUGAUGAAGUCUUCAAUAUCAUCCUGGAGAUCUAUGCACUCCUCUGUAUUGUGGCCGUGAUCAUGAUGGUAUAGAUAGUACUUAUUAUGGUUCCUCAGAUCUAGGAGUGUCCAAAGCCUCCUUGCUUCUGGGAGUUGCUCUCUUAUUUACAUUAACACCUGUGCCUUGGGUGUGUUCAAUGGAGUGUAGUUGGUGUACC